GGUUAUUUAAAAUUCACAUGUGUUUCGCUCCUAAAAUACAAAACCAGAUUGUAUAAAAUUAAUGUUUUUUUCUGGGAAACAAAUUCCCCAUUAAAUAGUUACCUUAUCAGACCUUAUGUCAAUAAAUCACUUUUUAAAUGCAUUCGAAGACGCUUCUUAAAACUACAGAAGUGUUCUCAGCUUUUAAAACGCCAGAUUUAGUAAUUUAUCGCCUUUUCUAGCCAUAUUGUAGAACCGCAUACAUGAUGACAUAAUAGUUUUGUGGUCUCGGCCAGUAUCGUCGCAGCGGGCACGCAGUUCAGUCACACCCUCGCAAAAAUAACAAACCCUUACGAGAUAUAAACGAAGCACGCUUGUUUACCCAAAA
rnacentral:lncRNA from 1 species